CUGGGGGAGGAUUUCGUGGGCCUCAGGAGAAGCAGCUCCUUGCCAGCGCACCGGAGGGGACCUGACGCUAGCAGGCGCCUCCCACAUCGUGUCCUCUCCAGGAGCCAUGAGACACAUCCAUCCCUUCUUGCUGGCCGUCCUGCUGUGCUCCGAGUGUGCCCUGAGCCUUCAGUGCUACAGCUGUGCUGAAGUGGAGAACAGCAGCCCGUGCCAGCCCUCCCAGUGUCUGAUGCAGGGCGUCUGCUACACUAGUGACAUAACCUUGACCUUGGACGACGGUGAGUGCCCAGCACUCGGAGGGAGGGGGCGGUUCAGGGAGCUCUGCUCUGAGGCU
rnacentral:lncRNA from 1 species